GUCGAGCGAUGAAACUUUAACAGAACCCUUCGGGGCGAAGAUAAAGCGGAUUAGCGGCGGACGGGUGAGUAACACGUGAGUAACCUGCCUUAGACAUUGGGAUAGCCUCGGGAAACCGGGAUUAAUACCAAAUAAAAUCAUAAUGACACAUGUCAUAACGAUCAAAACUCCGGUGGUCUAAGAUGGACUCGCGUCCCAUUAGCUAGUUGGUAGAGUAAAAGCCUACCAAGGCGACGAUGGGUAGCCGGCCUGAGAGGGUGAACGGCCACAUUGGAACUGAGAAACGGUCCAAACUCCUACGGGAGGCAGCAGUGGGGAAUAUUGCACAAUAGAGGGAACUCUGAUGCAGCGACGCCGCGUGAACGAAGAAGGCUUUCGAGUCGUAAAGUUCUUUUAUAUGGGAAGAUAAUGACGGUACCAUAAGAAAAAGCCCCGGCUAACUACGUGCCAGCAGCCGCGGUAAUACGUAGGGGGCUAGCGUUGUCCGGAAUCACUGGGCGUAAAGGGUUCGCAGGCGGAAAUGCAAGUCAGAUGUAAAAGGCAGUAGCUUAACUACUGUAAGCAUUUGAAACUGCAUAUCUUGAGAAGAGUAGAGGUAAGUGGAAUUUUUAGUGUAGCGGUGAAAUGCGUAGAUAUUUAAAAGAAUACCGGUGGCGAAGGCGAC
rnacentral:rRNA from 2 species